AAGUAUAAUGCCUGAUAAAAGGACAGUUUUGAUAGAACUGCUAAUGUAGCUUUACUACUUAUACU